ensembl:lncRNA novel transcript
GGUGAUCCGCCCGCCUCGGCCUCCCAAAGUGCUGGGAUUACAGGCACGAGCCACCAUACCUGGCUCACGGUUUUUAAUAACAUACAGAUGGAUAGAAUAAUAAAUUCAGGUGCUUGUAUUUGCAUGUUUUAACAUAUAUACAUAUAUGUUUUCUAGCUCUGUCUGCUGAGCAGGCCUACAAGCAAUGACACUCCGCCAAUGAUACUCUAGCCAGGAGUAUAUAUUCUGUCCAGAUCUUGGUUUCCAGUGGCAUCAAGAAACAACUUGGUUUCUAAGUUCCUUUUUUCUGGAAUAAAAGGAACUGGGAGCUUCUUAGAGAAUGACUGAUGCCAGGGCUGAGAUAGGGAAAAUGUGAGGAAGCCUGAAACAUCUUGUGGUGCCAGAAAAUGCUUAAAAAGUGACAGGGGCAAUGUCGAAACAACACAGUGCCAACUUCAAUGAGUUCUCACUGGCCAAAUCUGAGCCAAUUUGAGCAACCAAAUAAACUGUUAGCAUUAGAUUGUAGCCUGUAGAAUAAAACAGAUAUCCACUCAUUCAUACUGAUAUAAAUUAUCAAAUAAAUAAAUGGGGAAAAGGGACAGCUCUUCCUUAUAGUAGAAUACCAAUUAAUAAAUACAGGUAAAAUAAUGAAACAAAGUCACCAUUAGGCAAGCAUAACAUUAAUACCUGUUAUAAGCAAGAAUCAUUGAUGAUGGAAAUGAAAAUCAGUAGGCAAAAUUUUAAGAAUAAGACAUUCACAUAGCUUCAAAGUGGAAGAUUCUUGUUAAUUUCAAAGGGAAAAUUCCUAAUUUUACAGUGGAGAAACCUGGCACACACCACCUUAGCCAUGUGAUCAAAGUUACCACCACCUAGUCUAGGUGUGGUGGCUCAUGCCUGUA